rnacentral:lncRNA from 1 species
ACCCCUUUAAGAGCUGUAACACUCACCGCCAAGGUCUGCAGCUUCACUCCUGAAGCCAGUGAGACCAUGAAUCCCCCAGAAUGAAGAAACUUUGAAGAUGUCCAAACACUGGGAGGCACAAACUUAGGACGCACCAUCUGUGCUGAAGUUAGCACUGUUUUCCUAGAACCUACAACACAAGGGAAGACAAGUUGAGAUAGAAGGAGGAGCACAAGAAGGAUGAGAAUGAGGAGUAAGAGAAGGAAGAAGAGGAGGAAUCUAUCAAUUUUUACAAACAAAAUUUUGAUACUGCCAUUGAAUUUA